GUGAGGGAGAGGGGAUGAGAAACGGGAUUACACAACAAACACCUGGGAGGAUCCUGUGGGUUGCCCAUCAGCCCCUAGGCCAGUGGCUCAGGGAGGUGACAACGCAUCCCUGUCCUCCUCUGCCUCUCCCUCCCUGGUCUACUGGUCCCACCCUGCCCCUGCCUGGGGCAGCCUGGAGGUUCUGAGUGCAGCAGGAGCCUUCCCUCAGGCUGGGUCCUCACCCUGCCCCAUUUCCUGGAGACCUUGGGAAAGUUUUCCAAGUUCCGGGCUGGGGUCCUUGAGGAAUGAGGGGAAGUCACCUGCUGCAGCUCGGCUGGGAGGAGGGGAAGGAGGGACAGAGAGCCGAGGACUCUCUGGGCCCAUCCCUCUCCAGGAAAGAGGAGGGAAGGGUAAAGAGAGGCCAGAAGAGGAGAGAGGCAACUGGCUCUUUCAGAGGUCUUGUCCUGUGACCUGCCCCUCAGCAGAGUCCCCUGGGCCCCUCAUGCUUUGGAGAAGAGGCCAGACUUUAGGGACAGUCAGUAACAACCAUCACUCUGGUUUAUUGAGUGAGUGCCACACCCCAGGCACAGAGC
rnacentral:lncRNA from 1 species